UGGGGAAUAUUGCACAAUGGGCGCAAGCCUGAUGCAGCCAUGCCGCGUGUGUGAAGAAGGCCUUCGGGUUGUAAAGCACUUUCAGCGAGGAGGAAGGGUGGUGUGUUAAUAGCACAUCACAUUGACGUUACUCGCAGAAGAAGCACCGGCUAACUCCUUGCCAGCAGCCGCGGUAAUACGGAGGGUGCAAGCGUUAAUCGGAAUUACUGGGCGUAAAGCGCACGCAGGCGGUUUGUUAAGUCAGAUGUGAAAUCCCCGCGCUUAACGUGGGAACUGCAUUUGAAACUGGCAAGCUAGAGUCUUGUAGAGGGGGGUAGAAUUCCAGGUGUAGCGGUGAAAUGCGUAGAGAUCUGGAGGAAUACCGGUGGCGAAGGCGGCCCCCUGGACAAAGACUGACGCUCAGGUGCGAAAGCGUGGGGAGCAAACA
rnacentral:rRNA from 1 species